GCCGGGCGUAGUGGUGCAUGCCUGUAAUCCCAGCUACUUGGGAGGCUGAGGCAGGAGAAUUGCUUGAGCCUGGGAGGUGGAGGUUGAGGUGAGCCGAGAUUGUGCCAUUGUACUCCAGCCUGGGCAACAAGAACAAAACUCUGUCUCAAAAAAUAAUAAUCUGGCCAGAAUGCUGGGUCAUGCCUACAAUCCCAGCACUUGGGGAGGCUGAGGCUGGAGAAAUCACUUGAGCCUGGGAGUUCUUGACCAGCCUGGGCAACAUAGCAAGACCCUGUCUCU
rnacentral:sRNA from 1 species